UACAGAGGAUGCAAGCGUUAUCCGGAAUGAUUGGGCGUAAAGCGUCUGUAGGUGGCUUUUUAAGUCCGCCGUCAAAUCCCAGGGCUCAACUCUGGACAGGCGGUGGAAACUACCAAGCUGGAGUACGGUAGGGGCAGAGGGAAUUUCCGGUGGAGCGGUGAAAUGCGUAGAGAUCGGAAAGAACCCCAACGGCGAAAGCACUCUGCUGGGCCGACACUGAGACACGAAAGCCAGGGGAGCAAACGGG
rnacentral:rRNA from 1 species